GAUUGUUCAGUCUGGAGGAGGCUCAGAGGAGACCUUAUUGCUCUCUACAGCUACCCGAAGAGAGGUCGUACUGAAGUGGGUAUUGGCCUCUCUUCCCAGGUAAUAGUGAUAGGGCAAGAGAUUAUGGCUGUAAGUUGUGCCACGGGAAGUUCAGGUUGGACAUUAGGAAAAAUUUAUUCUCAGAAAGGGUAGCGAUGCAUUUGAAACAGGCUGCCCAGGGAAGCAGUAGAGUCACUGUCCUUGGAGGUGUUCAAGAAACAUGUAGAUGUGGCACUGAAGAACAUACUUAGUGGUCAUGGUGGUGAUGGGUUGACAGUUGGACUCCAUGUUAGAAGUCUUUUGCAACAUUAAUGAUACUAUGAUUCAGUGGAGCACUACUCUCCAUGGUCAGCUGACCAGAACUACCCUCAGGUGGAGCAGGGCCAGCACAUCCUUCAGAGCCCACCAUGCACUGAGAGCUGGGAGCUAUUGGCUUUGCAGAAUUCAUGGAUGAUGUCUGGGUAUAACUGGAUUUUGUCACUGACUUAAGCAGAUAACUUUAUCCAGGUUUCUUCUUAAAAGGAUGGCCUUGUAUGAAACACCAAGCGGGCUGUCCUUUACUGCUUUGAAAAGGGUCAUGUCACCGUGAAGUUUCAAGCCAUUGCUGAGGGGCCCAUUCCCUUCCUCCACCGCUGAAGGUCAAGUUCAGCCUGCACUUUAGGUGAUGGUUGAUUUUUCACAUUUGAUAUUUCUCAUGAUACAUCAAUUAUCAGCAGGUAGAAAUGCAAUCUAUUGAGAAGCACGGGUUUGAGGAAAUUGUAGCAGACAAGCUUUCAAUUUCAAAUUCACAGACUGCCUUCAAUGGCCCUACAUGGAUUUAUUCCCACUGAGCUCUGGAGUUUUCCAUGAAAGUAACACCAGAGUGUUCAAACGAUGAGUGUAGGACUGCAGUGAAUGGACAACUGUCCUUCAGGACUUGCAAAGUAGAUUUGCAAUGACCUGCUGCAGGAGAUAAUGCUAAUCCCUGGCAUUACCUACUGUAAAAUUUGUUCAGAUAGAUUUUAAACCAAACAGAAAAUCCCUCAGCCAGAUCACUGCAUUUCCAUCGUCCAAAUUAUGUUUCCAGGGUUCCAGCCAGCAGCCAGAGAUGGCAAGAAACAGAACAGAAAGUUUUUUGUACACUGUAAGAUGACAUUGAACACUUACUAAGCUUCAUACUUGGUGUUGUACUCCACUACAUGAAGACCCACACAUUUGAGUAGCGUUCUGCAGCCAUUAAUGAAUGAUGUUAGCAGCAGCAGUAUGGGAAAGAACAUACAGUAUAGGAAAGAAUAUUACACAUGCAGGGUAUGAUUUCUGCUGCUCAACUCUUGCUGACUAUAUCCAUGCAAGUGAUUUCAUGCUCUGCUCAAAGGCUGUCAAACAUGCACUUUUAGCUGAUAAAAUCACAUGGCCUACGUUAUCCAUCCCCUUUAGAACAUAAAGAUGAAUCAUGCUCUAGAGCUCUCUGCUUCUUUCCAUGAACGAGGAAGAUAAACAAGAUGAUGUAGGUCACAUGCAGAUGUCCACAUCUGUCAGAUAAGCUUUAUCUUUAAUGUUUUUAUGUUGCCUGUGAAAAUACAUAACAUUCAACAUUCAGUUAAAAUGUGCACUCCGUAUGGCAUAUAAAAUGUGGAGUGUUCAGUACUUUGAAAUGUACAGUACUAGUAUGUAGGAGGUGUUUUAGAUCAGCUUAGCUACCCCUGAAUAGAUAGGGAUGAAGUCACACACAUGUACGGUGAAAGCAAACUCGCAUACAGAAAACUGAUAAUAUUCUUGCUAGCCAGCACAUAAGGGACUUUUCUUACAGCCUGAUCCUUCAGGCUAUUAUGUAUGGAUCCUGUAUUCAAAUCUUAAUAGGAUUUUUUUUAUGGACAAAUAUGUCCACUACUACCAGGACACUGCUCAAUAAGUGGAGGACUUAUUCUGUAAGCAACACGGAAUUGUCACAGAAGCAACUACAAGGACAUAACCACAGAGAUUGUGACAGACAGAGUUCUACCAUGAAGCUCGGAUGGAUCUGCAGAAGCACAAG